rnacentral:tRNA from 1 species
GCGGGGUUAAUUCAUCGGUAGAAUACUUGGUUCCCAACCAAGACAGGCGGGUUCGACUCCCGUACUCCGCUCCA